rnacentral:tRNA from 1 species
UCCGUCGUAGUCUUGGUGGUUAGCAUACUCCGCUCUCACCCGAGAGACCCAGGUUCAAGUCCUGGCGACAGAA